rnacentral:rRNA from 1 species
UGCGUCACUGAUGGAUGGACCCGCGGUGCAUUAGCUAGUUGGUGAGGUAACGGCUCACCAAGGCCACGAUGCAUAGCCGACCUGAGAGGGUGAUCGGCCACACUGGGACUGAGACACGGCCCAGACUCCUACGGGAGGCAGCAGUAGGGAAUCUUCGGCAAUGGACGAAAGUCUGACCGAGCAACGCCGCGUGAGUGAAGAAGGUUUUCGGAUCGUAAAACUCUGUUGUUAGAGAAGAACAAGGAUGAGAGUAAAAUGUUCAUCCCUUGACGGUAUCUAACCAGAAAGCCACGGCUAACUACGUGCCAGCAGCCGCGGUAAUACGUAGGUGGCAAGCGUUGUCCGGAUUUAUUGGGCGUAAAGCGAGCGCAGGCGGUUUCUUAAGUCUGAUGUGAAAGCCCCCGGCUCAACCGGGGAGGGUCAUUGGAAACUGGGAGACUUGAGUGCAGAAGAGGAGAGUGGAAUUCCAUGUGUAGCGGUGAAAUGCGUAGAUAUAUGGAGGAACACCAGUGGCGAAGGCGGCUCUCUGGUCUGUAACUGACGCUGAGGCUCGAAAGCGUGGGGAGCGAACAGGAUUAGAUACCCUGGUAGUCCACGCCGUAAACGAUGAGAGCUAAGUGUUGGAGGGUUUCCGCCCUUCAGU